rnacentral:rRNA from 1 species
GAACGACGCUGGCGGCAGGCCUAACACAUGCAAGUCGAGCCGCCCCGCAAGGGGAGCGGCGGACGGGUGAGUAACGCGUGGGAACGUACCCUUUGCUACGGAAUAGCCUCGGGAAACUGGGAGUAAUACCGUAUGUGCCCUUCGGGGGAAAGAUUUAUCGGCAAAGGAUCGGCCCGCGUUGGAUUAGGUAGUUGGUGGGGUAAUGGCCUACCAAGCCGACGAUCCAUAGCUGGUUUGAGAGGAUGAUCAGCCACACUGGGACUGAGACACGGCCCAGACUCCUACGGGAGGCAGCAGUGGGGAAUCUUAGACAAUGGGCGCAAGCCUGAUCUAGCCAUGCCGCGUGAGCGAUGAAGGCCUUAGGGUUGUAAAGCUCUUUCAGUGGGGAAGAUAAUGACUGUACCCACAGAAGAAGCCCCGGCUAACUCCGUG